rnacentral:rRNA from 1 species
GCCGCGUGUAUGAAGAAGGCCUUCGGGUUGUAAAGUACUUUCAGCAGUGAGGAAGGCGGAGUCGUUAAUAGCGGCCUCGUUUGACGUUAGCUGCAGAAGAAGCACCGGCUAACUCCGUGCCAGCAGCCGCGGUAAUACGGAGGGUGCGAGCGUUAAUCGGAAUUACUGGGCGUAAAGCGCAUGCAGGUGGUUUGUUAAGUCAGAUGUGAAAGCCCGGGGCUCAACCUCGGAAUUGCAUUUGAAACUGGCAGACUAGAGUACUGUAGAGGGGGUAGAAUUUCAGGUGUAGCGGUGAAAAUGCGUAGAGAUCUGAAGGAAUACCGGUGGCGAAGGCGGCCCCCCUGGACAGAUACUGACACUCAGAUGCGAAAGCGUGGGGAGCAAACAGGAUUAGAUACCCCUGGUAG